rnacentral:sRNA from 1 species
UAUUCUGCCCCACGGGGAAGGAUGAGAAGCUUCGACUAAGGUUCGACUCGAGCGAAGCGAGAGAACGUUGCCGCAGGCAACGGCCCGAAGGGCGAGGGGCUUUAGCGCCGAGUAAUCCUUCCCCCACCACCA